GCUGUUGGUGGAUACUGUGAAUCUGAUCAUAUGGAUUCUGUUGAAUGCUACUGUCCAUCUACAAACUCCUGGAGCUUCACCAAGCCCUUGGAUCUACGGCUGGGUGGGCACAUAGCAAAGGUUCUCAAUGGGCAGAUCUUUAUCUCCGGAGGGCAAAACGCUGACCAGUUGUGUCUUGCAUCUAUGUUUCUGUAUCACCCAGAGACAGGAAGCACCUACCUGGCAAGCAAUGAACAAUCCCAGAGCUCAUCACAGCAUGGAGAUCCUAGGGGAACACCUCUACGUAGCAGGAGGAAUCACCACUAAAGAUAACGUGACUGUCGUUGAUCAGCUUACCUGUGAAAUGUACAGCCCAGCCACCAACUCUUGGACUGCGUUCACAUCUCUGCAAGUGCCACAUGUUGGGGCAGGAAGUGCGAUUUUGGAGGGAAAGUUCUACUUACUGGGUGGAUACAGCCAGGAGGACUGCAGUGACACGAAUAUGGUCCAUCGCUACGACGCCACCACACAGAAAUGGGAGAACAUUGGACAAAUGCCAGGGCCUAAUAAUGAAAUACGAGCAUGUGUGCUGUGUCUACCACAACAUUUGCGUAUGUAAAACACAGUCAAAUGAUCAGCUAUUUCAAAUAGAAUCUUACUGGGAAUGAUGA